rnacentral:misc_RNA from 1 species
GUGAAUCAUCGAAUCUUUGAACGCAAAUUGCACUCUCUUCGGAGAGUAUGCCUGUUUGAGGGUCAGUAUUAAUAAAAAUUGGGGUGUGGCUUUUUUGUGACGCUCUGGUGUGUGGGUCAUCUUAUUAUCCUUUAGGGUUUAAGAGGCUUAAAAUUGACUUUUUUUUCUCAAUUUAGAGGGACAUAAAUUCUUUUUUUUAUUUGUCUAUUCUUAUUGCCAAAAUCUUAUUAGAGGCGUUCAUAUCUUUUGGU